rnacentral:lncRNA from 1 species
GCUUCCGAAGGUUCCACUUGAGCCCAGCUGAGGCUUUUUCAAGUUGAUUGCUUGGAAACAGGGAGGGGAGAACCUGUAGGGGUUCAUCGGUGCAAAUUCCACCUCUCCUUUCUCUGAUAAGGAACGGCAUGGACUGGGGCUCUUCUUUUUGCCCUCUGCAUCCAUACCGAAGUGUGUAUCUUCCUCUAUUUUAAAAUUGCGAGGAAUGUCCAAGCUCUGAUUCUGCGUGACAAUUGGAGGUACCUGGAGAGUAAAAAAAAUCAAGCAUGUUUUUUUUGAGGCAGGGUGUGUGAUUUUGUGAAAGUCACUCGAGCUCCGUGCCUGUUCCCUAUAUCAUGGGAGCACACACUCUCCCUGGCAGGGUUGCUAAUGAGAACUAAGUGGCCCAAUAUAAAGCACUUAGCCCCGCGCUGAGCACAGAGAACACUCUUAAAAGGGUAGCGUGUAUGGAUAUUUGUCAAAGAUAACUGUGCAUUUCUUUUGAAGCCCCAGCUCUCCCCACUAACCAGCAACUGUUUGACAGGGACUCUGUCUCCCGCUCUGUGUCCGUGUUGCAGAACUUGGGGAUGAAAGUCACGAGAGUGCUGAAGUCGAUCACGGUGCCAACAGAGAUGCUGUUCAGAGAUAAACGAGAGCAUUUUUGUGACACAGAUCAGCACCUGUGUUUCUCACCUGAGCCACUUGGAAGAGAGAGAAAAUUAGAAGUCAUCUUCGCUCCCUCCAUCUGAAAGGCGUGGAGCUCAAGGAUGCAGGGCACAGGUGCUGGGAGUCUUCCUGCGGGCUUCAUCCACCCAGUGGUGUGAAUGGAGCAGGAGGUUGGACCCUGGUAGAGCUCGAAGCCCUGGCUCUCUCCCCUGGAUUUCACUCAGGUUCCGGUUUCCAGCACACACCGCUUUCUGGUGCCCAGCCCCGGACCCCAGGACCACCUGCAGGAAGAACCAAAACGCAGGCCCCUGGCAUGUGAAGGGAGGAGAGGUGGACAGAGGUGAAGUCUCUCAUCCCGGUUUUGCUGCCGCCUCCUCUGGUCCCUGUGGGGGCCGCCGCGGGACUGCAGCAGUGCUGUUCUUCUGGAACCCUGAGCUGGUUACGGAGAACCCCUGAGGAGCUCCAGACAGCGUGUCCCCCUUCUUCCUGCUUGCGGGCUCUGCAGAAGGGGGUCACCACACCCUCCCA